UUCUUGGAGAGUUUGAUCCUGGCUCAGGACGAACGCUGGCGGCGUGCCUAAUACAUGCAAGUCGAGCGAAUCUUUGGGAGCUUGCUCCCAUUGGUUAGCGGCGGACGGGUGA
rnacentral:rRNA from 1 species